rnacentral:rRNA from 1 species
UAUCGGAACGUGCCCAGUCGUGGGGGAUAACGCAGCGAAAGCUGUGCUAAUACCGCAUACGAUCUCUGGAUGAAAGCGGGGGACCGCAAGGCCUCGCGCGAUUGGAGCGGCCGAUAUCAGAUUAGCUAGUUGGUGGGGUAAAAGCUUACCAAGGCGACGAUCUGUAGCUGGUCUGAGAGGACGACCAGCCACACUGGAACUGAGACACGGUCCAGACUCCUACGGGAGGCAGCAGUGGGGAAUUUUGGACAAUGGGCGCAAGCCUGAUCCAGCAAUGCCGCGUGCAGGAUGAAGGCCUUCGGGUUGUAAACUGCUUUUGUACGGAACGAAACGGCUCUUUCUAAUAAAGAGGGCUAAUGACGGUACCGUAAGAAUAAGCACCGGCUAACUACGUGCCAGCAGCCGCGGUAAUACGUAGGGUGCGAGCGUUAAUCGGAAUUACUGGGCGUAAAGCGUGCGCAGGCGGUUUUGUAAGACAGAUGUGAAAUCCCCGGGCUCAACCUGGGACCUGCAUUUGUGACUGCAAGGCUAGAGUACGGUAGAGGGGGAUGGAAUUCCGCGUGUAGCAGUGAAAUGCGUAGAUAUGCGGAGGAACACCGAUGGCGAAGGCAAUCCCCUGGACCUGUACUGACGCUCAUGCACGAAAGCGUGGGGAGCAAACAGGAUUAGAUACCCUGGUAGU